GUUUAGAGUUAAUGAGUGGGAUUGUUUUGUGUUAUGUUUCCUGAUUGGCUCCACUGGCCCAGUGAUGUUGAUACCAGCCUCUCAAGCCGUAAGAAGCUAGACUGUCUUUUCCCAUCAGGACAUUCCAUCCGUUGGUGUCUCCUGGAAGAGGCAGAACCGAGGAGGCAAUUGCACUUAUCAUAGCAGUAACUUCUUGAGAAAUGCUGACAAGAACAUUUGUUUUUAGUGGUUCGGGGUUUUUUGUAGCAGAGUAAAUGUGUUCCGCUGGAGUCGUCCUCUCAGAAGACAUUAUGAAACAAUGUUAUGAUAUUUAUAUAGUUAUUUACCAAGCAUAUUUAAAUUAUAUUAAAGUAACCAAAAUAUAUUUACAAUCCCCAAGCCAUGUCACACUUUUGAGCACCCCUAAUGUUUGGAAAUUGAAAGCUGAAAAAUUUGACACGCUCUAUGAAUACUUCAUGUUUCUGGGACUUUUCUGUGUUCAGAGACCUUAUUUUUGCCAUAAUUUGUGUUUUUGGGUUAUUUUAAUUAUUGUGAAGGAGAGAGGCCCAAGCCACUUUAAAGCGCAAUCAUGAAAAUAAGAGGAAACACACCCAUAUUUUACAGGUCUGCCCAAUCCAAUCACAGAAGACCGAAGUUGCCACUCCACCGUCUCAGAGGGGACCUGACUUUGAAACCCCCGCGUGCAGCCGAGGGAAGAAUAUGGAAUGUUGAACAGGGAAAUGCUUUCAGGUGCAAGAAAAAGAGCAAUCCUCCUGAAGCUUGCGGGGGUGACCUUGGAGGCCUAGGUCUGCACGGAAGGAAGCACUAAGGUGCAUUUAUCCAAGCAGCAGCUACAUCAAAAACACCUUUAUGCAAAAGGCACUAUUAAAUGAUGUUGACCAGCUGGACUCUGCUAAAGUUCUCCAUGCCUCUCAAUUAAAAGGAUACACCAUACAAUUGUCAAGUGACAGAACUGUCCAGUAAACGCUACUUGUGCAAUCCACAACAACUUGGUCCGUGAAUUGUCAGACAACCAUGAAUUUUGCACCCACCGGCUAUCCUCAGCCUUCCGAGAGAAGAAAAGGUCCUAAUAUCACCCUUUGACACCUUCAGUGGCUUGGCACCCACCUCUCUGAAUGUGCCCAGCAGGACAGGACUUUCAGAAGAUGCUUUUGUUCUGCGACGCCAUGUCCGCAAACAUAGGGGCAACUUCAGUAGAUGUUUUGACUUUGUCUUUUCUUUUGCCCCCUUUUGGUGAAAAAAGCUGCCCGUAUAACACCCAUUUCUUCCAUUUUCUAGAACCGGUCUGCUUGAUGAAUGCAGGUAGAGUUCUGCCGAGAAGACGUUACAUCAGCCUCCCUUUUGGGAAAGAGAAAGAGUCGAGCAUGUUACUGCCAAGAUAACUAUCCUAUUCUUUGUGCGGGGGGGAGAACGAGAGCUUGGAGUUUAAAGGCUGAUUGUUAGUCCAAAGUCUUGGCAGGCCUUGCUAAAACCGUCCAUAAGUUGUUAAAGGUCUUCAGCAGAGUGAGCAGUGACGGCAGCAUCAUCAGCGAAGAGGAGAUCCCGUAAGCAUUUCAGCUGGACUUUAGACUUUGCUCUCAAUCUAGAGAGAUUAAAGAGUUUUCCGUCUGAUCUGGUCCAGAGGUAAAUACCCUCUGUUGCAGUUCCAAAAGCAUGUUUCAGCCUGACAGCAAAAAAGAUCACACUGAACACAGAAAUGGUGGUAGACUUUAGGAGAAACCCUUCCAUACUUCCACCUCUCACAAUACUAGACAACACAGUAUCAACAGUAGAGACCUUCAAAUUUCUAGGUUCUACCAUAUCGCAAGAUCUAAAAUGGACAGCUAACAUCAAAAACGUCAUCAAAAAAGCACAACAAAGAAUGUUCUUUCUGCGCCAACUUAGAAAGCUCAAGGAGCUGCUGAUCCAGUUCUACAGAGGAAUUAUUAAGUCUGUCAUCUGCACCUCUAUAACUGUCUGAUUUGGCUUUGCAAUCCAACAAGACAGACACAGACUUCAGAGGAUAAUUAGAACUGCAGAAAAAACAAUUGUUACCAGCCUGCCUUUCAUCAAGGACCUGUAUAUUGCACGAGUCAAAAAGAGGGCUGUGAAAAUAUUUACAGACCCCUCACAUCCUGCACAUAAACUGUUUCAACUCCUACCCUCAAAACGACGCUAUAGAGCACUGCACACCAGAACUAGACAAAAGAACCAUUUUUUCCCGAACGGCAUCACUCUGCUAAACAAAUAAUUCCCUCAACACUGUCAAAUGAUUUACUAAGUCUGCACUACUAUUAAUCAUCUCAUCGUUCCCACCACCUAUCUCCUUCCACUAAUGACUGUAAGACUGGAAUUUUGUUGCUUGUAUCCUUAUGAUUUAUAUUGAUAUUGUUUUCUGAUUGCUUAUUUGUACCCUAUGACUAUCAUUAAGUGUUGUCCUUUAUGAUUCUUGAUGAACGUAUGUUUUCUUUUAUGUACACUGAGAGCAUAUGCACCAAGACAAAUUCCUUGUGUGUCCAAUCAUACACGGCCAAUAAAAAAUUCUGUUGUG